UACGAAGGGGGCUAGCGUUGUUCGGAAUUACUGGGCGUAAAGCGCACGUAGGCGGAUUUGUUAGUCAGGGGUGAAAUCCCGGGGCUCAACCUCGGAACUGCCUUUGAUACUGCAAGUCUCGAGUCCGGAAGAGGUGAGUGGAAUUCCUAGUGUAGAGGUGAAAUUCGUAGAUAUUAGGAAGAACACCCGUGGCGAAGGCGGCUCUCUGGGACGGUACUGACGCUGAGACGCGAAAGCGUGGGGAGCGAACAGG
rnacentral:rRNA from 1 species